GCCACAUCAUGUUGAUACACUGCUUUCCGUACGAUCACCGAAGUUAAGCAACGUGAAUUCUGGUCAGUACUUAAAUGGGUGACCGCUUCUGAAUACCAGGUGCUGUGA